AUGUCGUCUUCCUCUUCCUCCGGUGCCUCCCAGGCUGGCCCCAAUGGCCAAGUCACGGAGAGGCUCUCCCGCACCAACUACGUUCUCUGGCGCGCGCAGAUCGUGCCGCAGCUGAGGGGCGCAGGUGUCUUCGGCUACGACGACGGCACGACACCGGAGCCGGCCAGGAUCCUCCACACCAAGGACAAAGAAGGGAAGGAAUCCACAGAGCCGAAUCCCCUCCACUCCAUCUGGGUGCGAGAGGACCAGCAGGUGCUUGGGUACCUGCUAAACAACCUCACCAAGGAGGUGCUUGUGCAGGUGACCGCGAUCACCACGGCGCGCGAGCUCUGGACGGCGCUGUCGGGGAUGUUCUCCUCGCAGUCGCUAAGUCGCGUA
rnacentral:rRNA from 1 species